GAAGGCAAUUCACCUGUGUGACCAGAAAGGGUGGAAUCUAGACACCAUUUAAGGGCUGACUGCCAGUGGGGAAGGAUCUCUUUUUGGAGAUCCCUCCUUUGUGAGCUUUUCAUCCUGAGCAUAAAUCUUUGGAUAUGGGUGGUUGUGUAUGGAGCCAGAAGUAGGACUCAAUGAUCCCUGUGGGUCUCUUGUGGGAUAUUCUGUGAUUCUACAAUUCUAAUAUGGGAGUUCUGUGUUCAACAAGCUGAGAGCUGAUGAUGUCUUUUGAAGUCAAUGGCUGUCUCCUGAUUGUAAGCUGUCUAAAACAGCAGAGGCUGGAACUGAGGUAGUUACAUCCAAAUGAGUUCUUAAGUGAAUUAGGUUUUGAUAGCAGCUCAUCAAUAGCUGACAGCUGGGUAUUGAUAGAAAAGAAGAGAGUGAAGACAAUUUCUCAUUUGCCAUCUGCUAGGUGACAGCACAGACAUCUAAUUCAUUUCUAUAUGAGGAACCAUUAGUGCCAUGCACACAUUUCUGCAAGGACCCAAUGGUCAUUCCUAGCAUGUCACUUGCUAGCAGUACCUUCCUGCCAAAAGCAACAGAAUUGGCCCAAAUACUUGGUUUAUAUUUAGCUGAGUUUAGCAAGGAGAUGAAGAGUCAACACUUGUCACAAAAUACACUUGUGUCCAAGAUAGCUACUGCGUGCAACUCUUGUGCUCUUGAGUGUGUUAAGCAUCUCCAGACAAUGAUCAGACAAAAUAUUCAGCACAGAUUGCACAAUCCAGUUAUACCACUCAUGCAGAAGCAGUGAUACGCAGAAGUGAGUAAAAGUUUAGCAACUGGAACUUCAGUUGUUUCUCUGACAUCACAAGGGAUUUACUGAAGGGCAAAUGUAUUUCUUAUACCAAACAGCCAAUGUUCGUAAAGCAGACUCCAGCACCAAUUGACAAGCUCCGUCUUUGAAAUGGAAACAGAAAGAGAGCUCAUAUUAUAUUUCUACCUUUGUGCACUGUCUACAGGUACCAGGCUGCCAGUUUCCUAAGAUGGGUGCUUGAGUUUAGGUCUAAAUCUAGAAGGAACAAAUCUGGGCACCAUCUGCCACGUGAAGAUGCAAAGAACAGAUAACUUGCUCUUCUUUCUGCUGUAGCAGCAGAACAGAAUAAAUGUAUGGACCUGUAACAGGGAAUCAUAGAAUCAUCUAAAUAAGAGAAGACCUUCAAGACCAUGAAGUCCAACCAUCAACCUGACCUACUGAAUCUCAUCACUAAACCAAGUGCCAGACAUUAGUGAAGAAGAUGGAAAGGGAUCCAUGGAAAGGGAAACGGAUCCAAAGAUUUCACCUCUGUCAUAACUACUGUGGGGAAAAAUCUGCAGCUGCAAGAAAAUAAUCCACAGAAAUUAAAUUUAUAUAUUUUGUAACCAUCCCUAGAGCACCUCAAAUAAGUUUGUCAGUGGAAAGGAUAAUUAAUGAAGGUUAGGUGGUUAUUGUUGGAAAUUACAACCACACCUGAAUGGAACUUACUGUGAGAUCUGCAGCAGCAACAUGGAACUCACUUUAUAUCUGAUUUUGUAAUACAAUGAGAUUCAAAUCCUGGGUCUAACUGCUGGUUAAUACAGAUACACUUUCUAUGGAGUAAAUGGACCCCUGGCAACUCAUCUCUGCUAAUGAUCGGAUGAAUAUUCAUUGAAAGAUUCUAUGAGCCUACAGGUCUUUCUCAAUGAAUGUGCACCUUGACCAUAACAAAGUCUGACAGAU